rnacentral:lncRNA from 1 species
AGUAAGGACAUCUUCAUCCUCUUCAUAAUAUAGUCAAGACUUUUUGCCCACCUUUUUACCAGGGCUUUAUAUAAUUUCCCAGCCUCUUUUAAAAGGCCUUAAUUUCACCAGGUAUUAAUAUUGCCACAUAAGUCAUGCUGUAUCAUGGAAAUGCAAGUGGUCCUCAACGCCAUCAAGUUUAGGAGCAGGUAAAAAUCAGCAUACUUUAUUUAGAAACAGCAUCAAGUUUAGAGGCAGUGAAAAUUAAGCAUACUUUAUUUAGCAAGGAAAUACUGCAAGCUGACCCCAAGGCUAUCAAGUUCAGGCCUUUCCCAUAUUCCGAAAUCAUUUGAGGGGACAAAACACCCACGUUUUUUUUUCCCAACAUUUGGAGAUGGCGCUGGCGAAAGCCAUAAAGGCUAGGUUUUUUAAUAUUAUGUAUCAUCAUUGCUCAAUUACUUUUUUUAAGACACAAAGCAUCCAGUUCUUUUAUGCCACCACUUUGAAGAAAGAACGAUAUUUAACUAUCUUAGCUGAGUUCCAGCGAGGGGAAACGGAUUAAAUUAAGGGAGCAACAUUUUACAUCACUUACUUGCAUAGAAACCCAAAGAAAACAAGCGAUGCCUUUCUCUGGAGAAAACGACAAGAGGAUAAAACAUGUGACGGGAUGAGAGGCAGCUCUAUCAUACAAAAGGAGCUAUUUGGGCUUCCUAAACCUAAACAGGGCAGAGUGCAGAACUAAGUAGUUGAUCCCAGCGGCUCUAUAAUACAAAAGGAGCC